UACGGGGGGGAGCAAGCGUUGUUCGGAUUUACUGGGCGUAAAGGGCGCGUAGGCGGCUUUGCAAGUGGCGGGUGAAAUCCCUCGGCUUAACCGAGGAACUGCCUGCCAGACUGUGAGGCUUGAGACCGGGGAGAGGUGAGUGGAAUUCCCAGUGUAGCGGUGAAAUGCGUAGAUAUUGGGAGGAACACCAGUGGCGAAGGCGGCUCACUGGACCGGAACUGACGCUGAGGCGCGAAAGCGUGGGGAGCAAACAGGG
rnacentral:rRNA from 1 species